rnacentral:ncRNA from 2 species
CCAGAUCGCCAACUAAGGUCCCAAAGCGUGUGCUAAGUGGGAAAGGAUGUGGAGUUGCUUAGACAACCAGGAGGUUGGCUUAGAAGCAGCCACCCUUGAAAGAGUGCGUAAUAGCUCACUGGUCAAGUGAUUCCGCACCGACAAUGUAACGGGGCUCCAGCACACCACCGAAGGUGCGGCAUUGACACUGUUGGUAGGCCUUCGUGGUCCAGCCGUGGAGGCCACACGAGUGAGAAUGCAGGCAUGAGUAGCGAAUGACGUGUGAGAAACACGUCCUCCGAAAGACCAAGGGUUCCAGGGUCAAGCUAAUCUUCCCUGGGUAAGUCGGGACCUAAGGCGAGGCCGACAGGCGUAGUCGAUGGACAACGGGUUGAUAUUCCCGUACCGGCGAAGAACCGCCCAAGCCAAUCCAGUGGUGCUAAGCGCCCGAAUCCAUCCACCGGCACCUUCGGGUGACACCGGGUGGCCUAGCGCGCGACCCCAUGCUGGUGCGGUUAGCGUAUUAACAGGUGUGACGCAGGAAGGUAGCCCAAGCCAGGCGAUGGUUGUCCUGGUGCAAGUGCGUAGGCCGAGAGGUAGGCAAAUCCGCC